GCGGAACCCUGUCUGGUCUUUCUAUGCCAUUCUCUCGCCUUCUGGCAUUAUAUCAGAGAAUGCUGUGCUGCUAUUCAUAAGGUUUUCAUGGCCAAUCUUUCUAGAAGUGCA